ensembl:lncRNA
CGAUGCCCGUGAUGCCGCCCCCCACCACGAUGCCGCCCCGGGCAACCGCCCGUGUCGCCCGUAUCUAAAACCGCUACUGUGUGUGCACAAAGAACAGGAUUUUUUAAGACUUGGGACGGGUACAGCUGACAAAAACCAAAAAAACCCUAUGGCGUUUAAUUUGUAUUAAAAACAUAAUAUACAAUCUAUAUAUGAAAUUUUUUCUCAAACAUUUAAAACUUUAAAAAAUAAUGCUCAUCGCACACAUAGAAUUUCCCCUCCUUUCCCAUGACAGAACAGCUGACAUGUCAAUUUGAAUAAAUAUACAUCUGGUUAAAAAAAGUUUGUAAUUUUUUUUUUUUUUUUUUUUUUUUACAAAAUACCAAAAGACAGCUAUAGGACAGGAGUAAACCUCUUAAUCAGAAUCACACAGUUUCACUUCAUUUUACUACUUAAAUCUGCAUAAAAAUAUGAAAGGUGGUUUAGAGAACCUAGCUCAGGAUUAUCAUGAGGGAAAUUCCUGAGAACGAAACAGAAUCCAUGUUCAUAAAAACAGACGUUACUCAAUUAAACCCCAUCUGAAUUUCACUAUGAGGCAAAAAUAUUUCAACAGGUGAUCAUCAGUUCCCCAAAACAACCAUGAAAUGUGCGUGCCGUGAAAAUGGCAGCUACCAUAGAAACACUUAAGUAAAAAAACACAAACCCAAAACCCAUAAAAAGAUAAAAAUGUACCAAAAAUAUAAAAGACGGAUCUUUAAAGUUUUAAGUCAUAUUCUAACUAUUGAUAUAUGAUCAGAAAUCGGAGGACAUGAUGUGCCGCCCUCGUCCUCUGGGUCUGCGGGGAUGACGAGUCACACAUCUUGAUGAUUCUUUGAUGAUUUCUUCUUCUUCUGUGGAGAGACAGACAUGAGGGUUAUGAUCCGCCAACGUUGAGACUGGACACAUUUGUUUUCUAAGUUUCGAUCUGGGGCGGACUGAAGUAGCGUGAUACCUUUUUGUGGGAGUCGCUUGAGGCGGUUUCUGUCGCCAUGGCGUCUUGAAUUGAAUCUACAGGUAUUUCUGGGAUGUCGGCUGAUUUCAAUUUGCUUUUUUCUGAGGACAAAUGCAAAGCAAUUGUACAAAACCAUCAAACUACAUGUUUUUAAGCUAUGUGUGGGUUGUUUACUCACUUCUCUUCUUCUCUGUUGGAGAACUCGUUGCCUCUACGUCAGGUGGAGGCAGCGGCUCUGUGUUGGCGGGAUUAUUUUUCUUUUUCUUCUUGACACUCUUGACCUGCUCUGUUGUUUCCUCUACCUUAUUAUCUAUUAUAUCCUCAACUACCUGCUCUCUUUCUUCAUCAGGUUUUUCUUUUUUCUUCUUCUUUGAUUUCUUUUCAUGCAGUACUUGUUCUGGAUUUUCCUCACCAUUAAGGAAGUCCCUUUUCCUCUUCUUUGCCUUCUUUUCUACAGACGUCUGCUCUAAAGUCUCAAUUUCUUCAGCUUUUUGCUCUAUAUUAUUUGCUAUGUCUUCAGCUUUUUGCUUUGAAAUGCUUUCACUCUCAAAUGUCAAUGCAUUUUCCUCACUCCCUGUUUUCUUCUUUUUCUUCUUCUUGGCUUUCUUUUCUUCUGCUAUGUGGUCUGAGGUUUGGUUGUUUUCUUCCUGUUUGCUCUCUGUGUUUUUUUUCACUUCCUCAGAUACCUGCUCAGAAUUUCCAGUCUGUGCCAAACUUCCCUCACUACCAGCCUUCUCUUUCUUCUUCUUCUUUUGCUUCUUUUCUUGUACCGUUGACUCUGAAAGGGUUUUCUCGUCAGCGUUCCCUCUUGUGUUUGUCUCAAUCGUCUCAUUUCUUUCAGCAUCAUCUUUGGUUUCUUUUGCCUUUUUAUUCACCUUUGGAGGUUUUUUAGCCUCCUCCUGCUUCGUGUCUUUGGUUUUUCUCGUCUCUUCGCCACAUUCCUCUUUUCCAUCUUCACCCGUCUCAUUCUUUUCCUCCUUGUCUGCAAUUUUCUCUUUCUUUUUCUUCUUCUUCUUGGGCUCAGAUGUUCUGUCAUCAGUUGUUUGUUCACUGGGAGUUGCAGUUUCCCUGUCCUCUUUUAUUUGUUUGUCCGCUGGAGAUGAGAGGUUCUGCUUUUGGCUCGGAGUGCUUGAGGUCACAGAAAUCACAUUUUUUGUCACAUUCUUCUUGGUUGAGCUUGUCUUUGUUUUUUUUUCAGUCACAUGUUUCUCGCCACCCUCUUCAUUGUGUUUCACUGUCCCGUUACUCUGUUUAACUGGGGUUCCAGUUUUCGCCGGAGCCUUAGCCCGGGGUUUCCUGACUCUCUUUUUCGGGGGCUGAGGAGCAGAGGAGUCCAGAGCAUUGAUGGCAUUCAUCUUGACUAUGUCGGCAUCUGU